UACGUAGGGGGCAGGCGUUGUCCGGAUUCAUUGGGCGUAAAGAGCGUGUAGGCGGCCAGGUAGGUCGGUUGUGAAAACUGGAGGCUCAACCUUCAGAGGUCGACCGAAACCAUCUGGCUAGAGUCCGGGAGAGGAGAGUGGAAUUCCUGGUGUAGCGGUGAAAUGCGCAGAUAUCAGGAAGAACACCCGUGGCGAAAGCGGCUCUCUGGAACGGUACUGACGCUGAGACGCGAAAGCGUGGGGAGCGAACAGG
rnacentral:rRNA from 1 species